GUGAGUAAUUUUGAAUCUCUAGGCUCUAGCUAACUACGUCGAAAACAUUUUAACAAAAAUAGAAAAAAAAAACUACAUUGAAAAAGAAAGGGACAAAUACUAAGACCUAGCUUUUUAUUUCGUACAGACAGGGAUGGAGAGUAGUUAAAAAAAAGUUGCCGGGACAUUAAUUAGACUACAAAACCUAUAAUAUAUAGAGGGAAGAUAUGUCAAAGUAAC